rnacentral:rRNA from 1 species
AUUGAACGCUGGCGGCAUGCCUUACACAUGCAAGUCGAACGGUAACAGGUUAAGCUGACGAGUGGCGAACGGGUGAGUAAUGUAUCGGAACGUGCCCAGUCGUGGGGGAUAACUGCUCAAAAGAGCAGCUAAUACCGCAUACGACCUGAGGGUGAAAGCGGGGGAUCGCAAGACCUCGCGCGAUUGGAGCGGCCGAUAUCAGAUUAGGUAGUUGGUGAGGUAAAGGCUCACCAAGCCGACGAUCUGUAGCUGGUCUGAGAGGACGACCAGCCACACUGGGACUGAGACACGGCCCAGACUCCUACGGGAGGCAGCAGUGGGGAAUUUUGGACAAUGGGCGCAAGCCUGAUCCAGCCAUGCCGCGUGCGGGAAGAAGGCCUUCGGGUUGUAAACCGCUUUUGUCAGGGAAGAAAAGGUUCUGGCUAAUACCUGGGACUCAUGACGGCACCUGAAGAAUAAGCACCGGCUAACUACGUG